rnacentral:rRNA from 1 species
AUUGAACGCUGGCGGAAUGCUUUACACAUGCAAGUCGAACGGUAGAGGGGGCAACCCCUUGAGAGUGGCGAACGGGUGAGUAAUAUAUCGGAACGUGCCCAGUCGUGGGGAUAACGUAGCGAAAGUUACGCUAAUACCGCAUACGAUCUAAGGAUGAAAGCGGGGGACUCGCAAGAGCCUCGCGCGAUUGGAGCGGCCGAUAUCAGAUUAGGUAGUUGGUGGGGUAAAGGCUCACCAAGCAACGAUCUGUAGCUGGUCUGAGAGGACGACCAGCCACACUGGAACUGAGACACGGUCCAGACUCUACGGAGGCAGCAGU